rnacentral:rRNA from 1 species
GGCAGCACGGAGCUUGCUCUGGUGGCGAGUGGCGAACGGGUGAGUAAUGCGUCGAAACGUAUCCAAUAAUGGGGGAUAACGCAGCGAAAGCUGUGCUAAUACCGCAUACGCCCUCCGGGGGAAAGCAGGGGAUCUUUGGACCUUGCGUUAAUGGAGCGGCCGACGUCUGAUUAGCUAGUUGGUAGGGUAAAGGCCUACCAAGGCGACGAUCAGUAGCUGGUCUGAGAGGAUGAUCAGCCACACUGGGACUGAGACACGGCCCAGACUCCUACGGGAGGCAGCAGUGGGGAAUUUUGGACAAUGGGCGCAAGCCUGAUCCUGCCAUUCCGCGUGAGUGAAGAAGGCCUUCGGGUUGUAAAGCUCUUUCAGGAGGGAAGAAACGAUUGUGGCUAAUACCCAUGAUUAAUGACGGUACCUUCAGAAGAAGCACCGGCUAACUACGUGCCAGCAGCCGCGGUAAUACGUAGGGUGCGAGCGUUAAUCGGAAUUACUGGGCGUAAAGCGUGCGCAGGCGGUUUUUCAAGUCUGAUGUGAAAUCCCCGGGCUUAACCUGGGAACUGCGUUGGAAACUGAAAGACUAGAGUGCGGCAGAGGGGGGUAGAAUUCCACGUGUAGCAGUGAAAUGCGUAGAUAUGUGGAGGAAUACCGAUGGCGAAGGCAGCCCCCUGGGUCGACACUGACGCUCAUGCACGAAAGCGUGGGUAGCAAACAGGAUUAGAUACCCUGGUAGUCCACGCCCUAAACGAUGUCAACUAGUUGUUGGGGAGGGAGACCUCCUUAGUAACGCAGCUAACGCGUGAAGUUGACCGCCUGGGGAGUACGGUCGCAAGAUUAAAACUCAAAGGAAUUGACGGGGGCCCGCACAAGCGGUGGAUUAUGUGGAUUAAUUCGAUGCAACGCGAAAAANCNUUACCUACCCUUGA